GGGGUAUAGCUCAGUUGGUAGAGCACCUGCUUUGCAAGCAGGGGGUCAGCGGUUCGAAUCCGCUUACCUCC
rnacentral:tRNA from 1 species